UAACGACUCUCGGCAACGGAUAUCUCGGCUCUCGCAUCGAUGAAGAACGUAGCGAACUGCGAUACUUGGUGUGAAUUGCAGAAUCCCGUGAACCAUCGAGUCUUUGAACGCAAGUUGCGCCCGAAGCCAUCUUUUUGGACGAGGGCACGUUUGCCUGGGUGUCA
rnacentral:rRNA from 1 species